rnacentral:rRNA from 1 species
AGUUUGAUCCUGGCUCAGGAUGAACGCUGGCGGCAUGCCUAACACAUGCAAGUCGAACGGACACCUUCGGGUGUCAGUGGCGAACGGGUGAGUAACGCGUAGGAAUCUACCCCUGGGAGGGGGAUAACAGCUGGAAACGGCUGCUAAUACCCCAUACAGGCGCAAGCUGAAAGGAGUAAUCCGCCCAGGGAUGAGCCUGCGUCGGAUUAGCUAGUUGGUGGGGUAAUGGCCUACCAAGGCGACGAUCCGUAGCGGGUCUGAGAGGAUGGCCCGCCACACUGGGACUCAGACACGGCCCAGACUCCUACGGGAGGCAGCAGUGGGGAAUUUUCCGCAAUGGGCGAAAGCUGCACGGAGCAAUGCCGCGUGAGGGAAGAGGCCUUCUGGUCGUAAACCUCUUUUCUGGGGGACAAAAUUCUGACGGUACCCCAGGAAUAAGCCUCGGGUAACUC